rnacentral:tRNA from 1 species
ACCGCGAUAGCUUAGCUGGCAUGGUAUCUACCCGGUAGGAGGAGAGUCACCACUUCGAUUCUGGUUUGCGGUU